GAUGAACGCUGGCGGCGUGCCUAAUACAUGCAAGUCGAGCGAACAGAUGAGGAGCUUGCUCCUCUGACGUUAGCGGCGGACGGGUGAGUAACACGUGGAUAACCUACCUAUAAGACUGGGAUAACUUCGGGAAACCGGAGCUAAUACCGGAUAAUAUAUUGAACCGCAUGGUUCAAUAGUGAAAGACGGUUUUGCUGUCACUUAUAGAUGGAUCCGCGCCGCAUUAGCUAGUUGGUAAGGUAACGGCUUACCAAGGCAACGAUGCGUAGCCGACCUGAGAGGGUGAUCGGCCACACUGGAACUGAGACACGGUCCAGACUCCUACGGGAGGCAGCAGUAGGGAAUCUUCCGCAAUGGGCGAAAGCCUGACGGAGCAACGCAGCGUGAGUGAUGAAGGUCUUCGGAUCGUAAAACUCUGUUAUUAGGGAAGAACAAAUGUGUAAGUAACUAUGCACGUCUUGACGGUACAUAAUCAGAAAGCCACGGCUAAAUACGUG
rnacentral:rRNA from 1 species